CCUGGACUCCUGUGGCUGUUUUAGUAACCAUCAUGGGGAUGGAAUCACAUCUUCCACUGGAAACACUGGGGUGACACAGAGAACCUUUGAAUACCGUGAGGAACCUCGGUGUAUGACCCUUCCACAAGCACUUUGAAUAUUCACUGGGAGCACACAGCAAAAUCCUCAUCAGUACAAGCUCUUCUAUGCACCCACAGCAGGUGCCAAUCCCUGGGAAUACCAAUGAUGCCAUUCUUAGGAAUCUGCAACCACAUGCCCCAGACACCGUUACAAUGGUUCCCCUUUAUCCUGAGGGCGAUGGAGGGCGUACAUCAGACACUGGAAGAACAUGCAAUGGUGAGAGGGCUGGCCAGAAAUGUCCAAGUGUACAAUCCACCGAACAGCGGGGACGUUGGCUGGACCCCGCCCCUGGCCAGUGCAGCAGUGCCGCGUGUGUGCGCUGCCCUGGCUGGCACGAGGCCCCCGGAACCUCGCCAGCGCUGAGAUCGGGAGGCGGCAAGAGGCCAGGAGGGAAGUGAGCGGUGUCGGAAGGCGAUAAGCCAAAUGAAGAAGAGACUCGCUAAGUUCGCGAGCUGGGUGGGCUUCAGCAUCCAUCAGAGAGAGCGCAGGAAUGGUGAGAACCCGGUUCCUGGGUAUCCCGUCCAUAAGCGCGAUCUCAAGAAGUUCCACAAAGCCGCGUAUUUUGGCGAUCUGGACACGUUGGAAGUGUUGCUGAUACGUAAGAAGAA